CCAAGGAGUCUAACAUGUGCGCGAGUCAUUGGGUCUUGUUUAGGCCCAAAGGCGAAAUGAAAGUGAAGGCCGAUUCGGUCGGCUGCGUUGGGAUCCCGUCCCACUCGUGGGCGGGCGCACCAACGGCCCGUCCCGAUCGCCGCGUCGAUGGGGCGGAGUGAGAGCGUACACGUUGGGACCCGAAAGAUGGUGAACUAUGCCUGGGCAGGACGAAGCCAGAGGAAACUCUGGUGGAGGUCCGCAGCGAUUCU
rnacentral:rRNA from 1 species